UGCAAAUACAUUUCAGCCAACAACACAAUUGACCCCAGCAACUAAUGCAACAACACCAUUUGAGCCAACAACACAAUUGACCCCAGCAACUAAUGCAACAACACCAUUUGAGCCAACAACACAAUUGACCCCAGCAACUAGUAAG